ACCACGGCAUGCACCAGCGAGCGAGCGAGCGAGGCCUCGACCUCGAGGGAACCACGCCAUCGCACUCGCAUUCUGCCGCCGCCGCUCCCUGCGCUACCUCGACGGAAGCCAUCGCAAAUCCAUCCCUUCGCCGCCGCCCUCGCGCUCGCAUCAAGGAUCGAGGCCUCCAGAGUAUCCUCGAUCCCCGCGUUACCCGUUCGCCGCAGCCGAUCCCGCCGCCGCGGGAGAGAUGAGCUGAUCUCCAUGGCCAGAUGAGGAAGGAAUACGGGUGACGGGAUGGAUUUGGAUCUCAAGUUGGGGAGGCCAACGUAGCCGCCCCUAGCGCGUCGAGCGAAAGCGAAGGAUUUGGAUCUCAUGGAUUUGGCUGCGUCGACCAGCAGAGGACCGCCGCCGGCUCGGCUCCUCCACCACGAAGCGACCUCCUUCCACCCCGUAGCCGCCGCCCGAAACCCUAGCAAUCGAGCCCCACCCAUGGUGCCCUAGGUGGUACAACGGCCAGAGGAGAGGAAGUGGAGCAGCAAUCGCCUGGACGUGAGGUGAGCUUCUCCCAUCCAAUCUUAUCCACCCUCACCCCCGGGUGGCUCACAAUAUCUAUCACCUGCAGCAGCAUCUUGUGCAUGCAUCCAUUGAGGACGUGAGGUGCACACCACAUUUUGGUUCAGUUUUUCCCUUCUUUAUUAUAAUUAUGCCAAGGACAUCUUAUGCCUUACAGUAGUAUUCAAAUUCUCAAGUUUGUUUAUUUAUUUUUAGUGCAAUACUGCUCUCUUGUCUGCAGGAGAUUGGAGGAAAAAAUAUCAGAAAUCGGAGACAUGACGUUUUGGUUCAAUUUAUUCACCUUAUUGGGACGGUGGGGUUAAUAUAUAUACAUCAAUUUUGAGCAUCGGCAACGCAUGAAGCUUGCUUCUGAGGCUGCAACAUGUUUUAUCAGCACAGGUUCAGAGAUAACUUUAAUGAGUAAACAAAUAAUUUUCAUGCAGGUCAGUUCUGAUGUGUGUUGAAUAGCUCAAUUUUGUUUUGAUCUGCUACGUUUAGUCAUUGUUUGCUCUAGCAUCAACACUAACUGUCACACGCACGCCGCCCCAUGGACGCCCCUGACUGAGGUGCGGGUCGGUGCUUGCCGUCGGUCCAUCCGCAUCGGCGCAGUGGCAUGUACCCCUUGAAAGCUUUGAAGCCUGAAAAAGCCGCAGGACCAGAUCUUCCCAUCAACCUGAAGAUGUGAAGUACGCUGCGUCUCCUGGUAUUUGUGUUGCUUCCGCUGGAUGACGCUCUAUUGUCGUUGUUGCCUCAGCCCUCCCAGUUGUCGUGUUCUUCCCUUCUCUUGCUGCUCGAUGAGAUGACUAGAGCACCUUGUGGUGACUUUGUUCUCUGGGCUGCUCGCGAUGUAGUUCUAGAGCAGCUUCAGCGGCAAGAUGCCAUAGUUUCCUAAUUACUACGAUGAUUUGCUGGAUGAGGAGGUGGGUGUAACACCCCGAGGAUCAUGCUACACUAAA